CGUGCUUUCUUCGCCGAUUUUAUAUUUGUAUCCCGCCUCGCUCCUGCAGGGCGCCCGAGGCGGCUGGUCCUCUUCCGCUCGGCCUCCUCCUCGCAACAGCCCUGCAAGGUUCCGCUGCAGCUGAGGAACAGCACUGCCCCUUUGGAUCCCCUACGCCAUUAUGAAAGCAAAUCGCAGAGGAACACAUUUUGCUGAGCAAAAAGGCUGCCUGCCACAAGAAGUACCCAAAGAGGGUGAAGUAUUAAUCAGACAGUCCCUGGUUUUAAUCCCAUUAAUCCAUUGAUGGUCUUUGGCAAGCUGUGAUUUUUAAAGCUUCGCCUCACUCCCUUAAUCUACAAUAUGUGGGUAACAAUACCGGCCUCUCUCACAGGGUUGUUGUGAAAAUUAUAAAUGUAUGCGAAGAAUUCUGGCCAAACUCUCUUAGGUGCUAUAGAAAUACUAAGUGAGACUGGUGAGGGCUUUUCCAUCCCAAUCACUUCUCAAAUAUGGGAGUUAGCAGCUGGGCAUGGUGAACCAAGUGUGCAUUUUUGCUACCCUGUUUCCCUGAAAAUAAGACCUAACUGGAAAAUAAGCCCUAGCAUGAUUUUUCAGGAUGCUCGUAAUAGAAGCCCUACCCCAAAAAUAAGCCCCAGUUAAGAUAGUUAGCCAAACAGACGCAUGUAGUAUGUCCGUUGCAACACAAUUUGGGGUUUGGAGACUUACGACGAUGUUCCAGAAGAAGAUAGCAUGACUGUAUUUGAAUAAAUGUAGAUUGUUGUACAUGAAAAACUAAAACAUCACCUGAAAAUAGGCCCUAGUGCAUCUUUUGGAGCAAAAGUUAAUAUAAGACACGGUCUUAUUUUUGGGGGAAACACAGUAAUAGCCUGCUGACAGAACCAAGAGACACACAUGGUCCCGGGCCUGCUGUUUUCCCAAGUAUGAAACCGAAGUUGAGUUGUGGGCUCAUUUAAAUUGCUUGCCUUGGAAAGCUCGGCAUCAUUCUGCAAUGUCCCAAGAGAACCCUGGGUUCCAGCGAAAGAGCUUCUGGAGCCGUCGCCCAAGCAACAGAGCAAUCAUUUCUUUCACUAAAUAAAUGCCGAUUAAUAACCAAAUUGUAACUGAAUUUUUCAUUGGGACACCCACAGAAGUGUUUGCUAAUAAAAAUGUAAAGGAGAAACAGUUCCUAGUUACCUGUCUUCCUCCUGGAUAAUAAACUGUUGUUAACAUGUC